CGCGUAGGCGGCUCAUCAAGUCGGGGGUGAAAUACUUCAGCUUAACUGGAGAAGUGCCUUCGAUACUGGUGGGCUUGAGGGAGGUAGGGGUCUUUGGAACUUCUGGUGGAGCGGUGAAAUGCGUUGAUAUCAGAAGGAACGCCGGUGGCGAAAGCGAAGGACUGGACCUCUUCUGACGCUGAGGCGCGAAAGCUAGGGGAGCAAACGG
rnacentral:rRNA from 1 species